UAUCAUCUGGUUAAUAUCACAAGCAUCUGGCAGCACGUAGUUAGUUAUAUUUGGAUGGGAAGUGAACACAUGUACUAGUUGAAAUGCAUGAUCAUGACUGUAGAAACAGAAAAAUACAGCAUUUAAACUGCUUCCUUCAGGACUAAGUGAAGCAAAUGGGUUCUCAGACAAUCCAAAGCCUUCUUUCCUGUUAGUUGAAGCUCCAGAAUCAAAAGAACCGAAAGAUGGCUUUUCUUGAUCUCUGCUGCCCCCCCAUGGUGUGGAUUUGGAGAAACUGGAUGGCUGGAUGACAUUGGAGUAUCUCUGGCUAGUGGUAUUCCAUCCACGUCUAUUAUUACCUAAAAUAAACAAUAAAACAAAAUAAUUUUACUAGCAA